rnacentral:lncRNA from 1 species
CGCAGACCCGGGAUGUGCAUUUCCUGGAAUUCCUGGCCGGCCCUGUGGACAAGCCCGAGAUCCCCCGGCCGGCCGUGGCCUGCCCGAAAUCGCAGGUCCCGGGACGCAGGGUUGGAGCCACCUGUGGGCUCAGGCUCCAGGCGCCUAGCCGGCUCUGCCUCCCGCCUGGGCCCUCGAGCAGCAUUCAAGCUACCGCCUGGGCGUCUGCAGCGUGCCGGGGCCGAGCUGGAAGCGGGGAACGCCUGCAGGUGUCUUAAUGAGGCAUCUAAGAUCACCAAGUCCUAUCAGCAUAAUAUCAUCAAUAAACCGGACCAACGCGAUCCUUGUGGGGUGGCGAGAUGGUCGUGCGGAGCUGGAGGACUGACCGGCUGAAGGAAGGCACUCACGGUGAGCUGCUCUCCCGGCCAGCGAUGUCAAACUGAUUUGGAAAAAUGUUGGGGUUUAGAGCUGAUGGCCAAGGAAGAAUCCUUGAGCCAUCUUCUGUGUGAGAAGGUGGUUUUAUUAAAGCCCAGGGACAGGACCUGUGGGCAGAAGGAGCUGCACCGGGGUCAUGAGGAGGGGCCGAUUACACUUUCAAGUUGGGAAGGGCUUAGGGAUAGCGUAAGUCUCUAAGGAAUUUUGGAAGCAAGGUUUCCAGGACCUUGAGGGGGCUAGCUUUUGGGAAAAGGUCAUUUAUUACCGUCUAAUAAAACCUUAGUCAUGAGACCCUUCAGAUGUAUAUCGGUGGUCCAUAUGCUUGUGGGAUGAUUGCCAGCAUGCAUCCUGAGGAUAGAGAUAGAGGAAGUUGCCAAAGGAAUUUUUAUAUGCUAAAGUAGACUUGCA